rnacentral:rRNA from 1 species
AAAUGAAUAGACGGGGGCCCGCACAAGCAGUGGAGUAUGUGGUUUAAUUCGAAGCAACGCGAAGAACCUUACCAGGUCUUGACAUCGAAUGCAUACCUAAGAGAUUAGGGAAGCCCUUCGGGGCAUUCAGACAGGUGGUGCAUGGUUGUCGUCAGCUCGUGUCGUGAGAUGUUGGGUUAAGUCCCGCAACGAGCGCAACCCUUAUGCUUAGUUACUACGAAAGAGGACUCUAAGCAGACUGCCGUUGACAAAACGGAGGAAGGUGGGGAUGACGUCAAAUCAUCAUGCCCCUUAUGACCUGGGCUACACACGUACUACAAUGGCUAUUAACAAAGUGAACCAACAUCGCGAGGUAGAGGGAAACACAAAAAAUAGUCUCAGUUCGGAUUGUAGGCUGCAACUCGCCUACAUGAAGUCGGAAUUGCUAGUAAUCGCAGAUCAGAAUGCUGCGGUGAAUACGUUCCCGGGCCUUGUACACACCGCCCGU